rnacentral:rRNA from 1 species
UCAUGAUUAGUUACAAGAUAAAAUUACCUUAGGGAUAACAGCGUUAUUUUUUUUGAGAGCUCUAAUCGAAAAAGAAGAUUGCGACCUCGAUGUUGGAUUAAAGUUUAAUUUUGGUGAAGAAGUUUAUAAUGUUUAGUCUGUUCGACUAUUAAAACUUUACAUGAUCUGAGUUUAGACCGGCGUGAGCCAGGUCGGUUUCUAUCUUUAAAUGUUUCAAAUAUUUUAGUACGAAAGGACCAAUUAUUUUUUAAAUUAAAUUUUAACUGAAUAAAAUU